AGCAGCCGCGGUAAUUCCAGCUCCAAUAGCGUAUAUUAAAGUUGUUGCAGUUAAAAAGCUCGUAGUUGAAUUUCGGGGUUAGUAGGUUGGUCAUGCCUCUGGUAUGUACUGGUCUCACUGAUUCCUCCUUCCUGAUGAACCUUAAUGCCAUUUAUUUGGUGUUUUGGGGAAUUUGGACUGUUACUUUGAAAAAUUAGAGUGUUUAAAGCAAGCUAACGCUUGAAUACAUUAGCAUGGAAUAAUGAAAUAGGACGUUCGAUCCUAUUUUGUUGGUUUCUAGGAUUGACGUAAUGAUUAAUAGGGAUAGUUGGGGGCAUUAGUAUUCAAUUGUCAGAGGUGAAAUUCUUGGAUUUAUUGAAGACUAACUACUGCGAAAGCAUUUGCCAAGGAUGUUUUCAUUAAUCAAGAACGAAAGUUAGGGGAUCGAAGACGAUCAGAUACCGUCGUAGUCUUAACCAUAAACUAUGCCGACUAGGGAUCGGAUGAUGUUAAUUUUUUAAUGACUCA
rnacentral:rRNA from 2 species